AUGGACGCUGCAGGGUGUGGAGAGGGUUCGCAGGGUCAGCCCUCCGCUAGAUCGGUUGCCUCCCCGUCCCUCACCUCUCCACCUCCCGCUACUUAUAUGCCAAAGCCUAUGCUUGUAAGGGUCAGCACCUUCCUCACCUCACCUCGCCUCGCCUUGCCCAUCUCCUCCUCUCCAGCUCCCUCCCUCUCUCUUCGCCUCCAACUGCAGCUGCGUCUGCUGCUGCUGCCUUACUUGUUGCAGCUUGCAGACUCCUUCUCGGCAGGAACUAACACCGCCUUCAGGGAAAAAAAACAGCAUACAGAAGGAAUCAAGGAGCAUGUUAUUAACUUUUCAUUGGUUAGCUUGGUCCGUUAG
rnacentral:rRNA from 1 species